GGUUGAUUAGUGUAGUGGUUAUCACUCCGGAUUCUGAUGUUAUUCCGGUCAUUAUUCCGGUAACCUGGGUUCGAAUCCCAGAUCGACCU